rnacentral:rRNA from 1 species
UACGUAGGGUGCGAGCGUUAAUCGGAAUUACUGGGCGUAAAGGGUGCGCAGGCGGCGUCGCAAGUCAGGCGUGAAAUCCCCGGGCUUAACCUGGGAACUGCGUUUGAAACUGGGAGGCUAGAGUGUGGAAGAGGGGGGUGGAAUUCCAGGUGUAGCAGUGAAAUGCGUAGAGAUCUGGAGGAACACCGACGGCGAAGGCAGCCCCCUGGGCUGACACUGACGCUCAUGCACGAAAGCGUGGGGAGCAAACAGG